GACGAGGUGGCCGAGUGGUUAAGGCGAUGGACUGCUAAUCCAUUGUGCUCUACACGCGUGGGUUCGAAUCCAAUCCUCGUCG
rfam:Ciona savignyi cont_28259, whole genome shotgun sequence.